rnacentral:piRNA from 1 species
UGUAACACAUCUUUGCUGCUGUCUCAG